rnacentral:pre_miRNA from 1 species
ACAACAUUUGGACCGUCGGUCUACCGAGCAAUACCACUCGCUCGGUGGAAGAUCUUCCUUUCGUCGU